GGUUAAGUGACUAAGCGUACACGGUGGAUGCCUUGGCAGUCAGAGGCGAUGAAGGACGUAGUAACUUGCGAUAAGCGUAGAUGAGGCAGUAACAGCCACUUGAGUCUACGAUUUCCGAAUGGGGAAACCCACUGGCAUAAGCCAGUAUCAUUGAGUGAAUACAUAGCUCAAUGAAGCGAACCGGGAGAACUGAAACAUCUAAGUACCCCGAGGAAAAGAAAUCAACCGAGAUUCCGAAAGUAGCGGCGAGCGAAAUUGGAUUAGCCCUUAAGCUUUACAUGUGUUAGACGAACGGUCUGGAAAGUCCGACGAUACAGGGUGAUAGUCCCGUAGUUGACGAUGCAUGUUCAGUGAAAUCGAGUAGGGCGGGACACGUGUUAUCCUGUCUGAAUAUGGGGGGACCAUCCUCCAAGGCUAAAUACUCCUGACUGACCGAUAGUGAACCAGUACCGUGAGGGAAAGGCGAAAAGAACCCCUGUGAGGGGAGUGAAAUAGAACCUGAAACCGUGUACGUACAAGCAGUAGGAGCACCUUCGUGGUGUGACUGCGUACCUUUUGUAUAAUGGGUCAGCGACUUAUAUUCAGUGGCAAGGUUAACCAUCUAGGGGAGCCGUAGGGAAACCGAGUCUUAACUGGGCGCCAUAGUCUCUGGAUAUA
rnacentral:rRNA from 1 species